rnacentral:misc_RNA from 1 species
AAAAAAACACAUUGGGAAAAUGGGACUCAAAUAAACCAAGGGUAAGUGUGUCAUUCCAUAUGGGUGCAUCCUAGUAAUUUGAGAAACAGCAAAUACCUACCUGCCAGUUAAUAUCGUAACCAAAAUACCUACUAACUUCAUUAACCAUGGAUUGCCGCUGCAUUUUGACUACCAGUUGAAUCAUGCCUUCAAAAACCAACACCAAGAAAAACACAACUAUAGCCCCACCUUGUGUUGUGCCACCCCACAAA